UACGAAGGGGGGCUAGCGUUGCUCGGAAUUACUGGGCGUAAAGGGAGCGUAGGCGGGUUAUCAAGUUGGAGGUGAAAGCCCAGGGCUCAACCUUGGAAUUGCCUUUGAUACUGGCUGUCUUGAGGACUGGAGAGGAGACUGGAAUUUACGGUGUAGCGGUGAAAUGCGUAGAUAUCGUAAGGAAGACCAGUGGCGAAGGCGGGUCUCUGGACAGUUCCUGACGCUGAGGCACGAAGGCCAGGGGAGCAAACGGG
rnacentral:rRNA from 1 species